UACAAGGAAGCGACUUAUUCCAUACAAACCAUACAUUCCUACAUAUGUACGUAUGUAUGUACAUAUGCAUGUAUGUACAUACACCCAUGAACAUACAUAAUGGGGAUCGGCGUGCAGACAAAUAAAUUUCCAAGCAAAAGGCAAGCGUCCGCUGUGCAGCCACUGAAAAUGCAAGCGCACAGCGGUGGCCAAGAUAAUAGGACACAAAUUAGGCCGACGAGGAGCAGUGAUCAAAUGCAUAGUGUAGUGAAAAUUUGUUUUGAAAAUAAUUGAAUUAAAUGUCAUGUAAAACUGUGAGUCGGCACUAUGCUCCUACCCGCGCCUGUGCACGCAUCGUGGAAUUUAAUAAACACCGAUCCGAACAAAACAGAACAGAACAGACACGGCCAUAUGCAUGAAGGCUGUGUGGAUUUGUACAUAAAUCCCUGCGAGACGAUCGCCAGAGCCACAACAACUACAACAGCAACAACCAAGGAACCCGCAGAACAACAAUAAUAAUAACAACAACAUGGGGAACAGGUCGCGGACUCAGGUAAGCGGCAGGAAGUGUGCGAGUGCGAGCGAGACGGCAUCGAUUAGACCCACUGCCGCUGUGAUAAAAUAUAUCGAUAAAAGGGGCAAGCAGGUAGUGUAGUUGGAAAAAAGGCCUGAAAAUUCUGGAAAAGCAGCCAGGGGGCGGGGUGCAAUGAUGCUGAGGGGGCGCGACAACGAAAACAACAAACCAAAAAUCUAGAAGAACUGAAUAACAACAACAAGGCCCUAACAACUGUAAAAAAUGCAACAAGAAGAACCUGCUUGAAAAGCAGCAGGGCAACAGCAACAACAACAUCAACGAAA